GCCAGCCACGGGUUGCCGACCCCUGGCUCCGGCGAAAGAGCGAUUUGUUAACUGCCCGACCGUUAAAGAGAUGCGGACGUCAACACAUUAGUUCGGCUAUAAUAUUAGUUCCGCCUCGCAUUUUCCCCUCCCGGUCGCGCGCCCCACCUUUUAUGCCUCCGUGCCACAUCGGUGAGAUGCACCACACAGUUUGAGAAUCACUGCGCUUCACAGGGCCGGCCCUAGCACAUUGGGGCGCUCUAUACAAGCUUCACUCCUGGCGUUCAACGUUCUCAUAAAAAUGAACGUGUUCGUUCAUGCACAACACUGCCUGAAACUCAAUAGCCUACUGGCCUACCUGCCUCGGCCACCUGCGAGCGACUCUUCAGCUGUGCUGGAUGCUGUUCACUGCUGCUCAAACUCAACAAGAGUUUGUAGACUAGUGCUCUAAAGGUGGACCAAAGUUUAACCAAAAGUUUAAAUAUACAGUGGGACAGCGGCAUUUUAACUUUUUUAUUUUAGCUGUCAUGUGGUUCAUGUCUUGACAUGUCCUCCCCAAACUUCUUAAAUGUUGUGUUGACAUGUUUAAUGUCAUUGCACUUAUAUUUGUAUAAAAUAUUUAUUUUUGCACUGUAUAGGAGCGGCCCCCAUCAAGUUGUUGGAAGUAACUAAGUAACUUUUACUUAAAGUACAUUUUAAAUGAACUACUUUUUACUUUUACUUGAGUAGAUUUUUAGAUGGGUACAAGUAAAUUGUCAUCAAAGUAAAGGUACUUUUACUUGAGUACAAUAUUGCAGUACUUUUUACACCUCUGCUUAAAACCAGAAAGAAUAAACGGGUCCUCAGUCACAUACUCAUCCCAUGUAAAAUUUAAAUUUAAAAGCUGUUUUAACCGCUGCUUUAAGAUGAAAAGGAGAGUUGUGAAGCUUUACUCUGAAGAAGUGACGUCAGUCGUUUGCGUCUUCACCUGAUGGGAUUGUCCAAUCACAGCCUCGUGAAUGCAGUCUGUCUGCCGCAGACAUGAGAGGAUCGCGUUAAGCUUGUUCCGUACGAGAGACUCUGUUUUCGGGAUAAAUAACUUGCUGAAGUCGACACAACACUGUUUCCCUGGAGGAGAAGAUGAGUGCGUGGGAAAGCAAAGCCGCGGGCCCGGUGUGGAGGAGUCAAGGCGGAGAAGACAGGCGCACAGUCCCUGAAUUAAGGUGAGGCGAAGCUAUUGCUAACUGCUAAGCUAAUUCUCAGAUUUGAAAAACAUGUGAACCACUGUGGGAUUAGCGACAGUUGCUAAAAGUAGAAUAAAGCAUCGAGUGCUUUAGCGGAGCUAGUGCAUGUUUAAAUAAGUAUGAACUAAUUAAAUCGAAAAGUUUGUUUUUGGUUAGUUUUUUCAUAGACGUAACUUUUCUCGUUUUUUUUAUUUUUGUAGGAAGAUACAGGAAGAUAUGUAGGAUGAUGGCCGGCGGAGCGAGGGUAUGACUAAAGAUGUGCUGUGCUGUUUAAAAUACAUCCUCCAGCUUUACUUUAUCUGAUCUUUUUCAUCAUUGUGUUUUCACAGCCUGAUUCCCCACACAAUGACGCAGUCACUGCACAUUACGCCGAGACUCGCUGAAAGUCCACAUUUGCAGUGCGCGCUAACGACGCCAUUGUACCUGCCUGUACUAUGACUUACUAUGAGCCAGUAUGAAGGAGCUUCCAAUUCAUCCAUACGGACCUUGCAUCAGCAUUGAGGAGUUCAGGAGUCGGCAGAGAAGAAAGAGGCUGAUUUAUAGCGGGACAGAUGACAUGGAUCCAUCCUUCCACAGCCAGGAGCUCACCGACCUGUGUGCCACACUUCAAAUAAUACUAGAAGAUACACUGGAUCUCACAGCUACACACCACAGACGUCUACACACCACAGACGUCUACACACCACAGAUGUCUACACACUGGGGCAGAUUCGGCUGAGUCCCUGACAGAGUCCCUCAAAGAACAUAUGACCCAGAGGCUGCAAAGAGACAUUUCAAGCUUCACCUGAUUAACUUUUCACUGGCUAGGCUAGUUGUGUUUGUACAAUAUUUGUGCUGUAUGUAAAUAAACCUUUGGCUCAACAUAUACCUCGUUCAUGUUUUUUCUUCCCUGUACAA